UACGGGAGGCAGCAGUGAGGAAUAUUGGUCAAUGGGCGAGAGCCUGAACCAGCCAAAUCGCGUGAAGGAAGACUGCCUUGUGGGUUGUAAACUUCUUUUAUACAGGAACAAAAAGAGUUACGUGUAACUUCUUGCGAGUACUGUAUGAAUAAGCAUCGGCUAACUCCGUGCCAGCAGCCGCGGUAAUACGGAGGAUGCGAGCGUUAUCCGGAUUUAUUGGGUUUAAAGGGUGCGCAGGCGGGGAAUUAAGUCAGCGGUGAAAUCCGGACGCUCAACGUCCGAACUGCCGUUGAAACUGGUUUUCUUGAGUAUAGAUGAAGUAGGCGGAAUUCGUUGUGUAGCGGUGACAUGCUUAGAUAUAACGAGGAACUCCGAUUGCGUAGGCAGCUUACUAAGCUAUAACUGACGCUCAAGCACGAAAGCGUGGGGAUCAAACAGGAUUAGAUACCCUGGUAGUCCACGCCGUAAACGAUGAUUACUAGUUGUAUGCGAUAUAUUGUAUGUGACUAAGCGAAAGCGAUAAGUAAUCCACCUGGGGAGUACGCCGGCACGGUGAAACUCAAAGGAAUUGACGG
rnacentral:rRNA from 1 species